rnacentral:rRNA from 1 species
UACGUAGGGGGCUAGCGUUGUCCGGAAUCAUUGGGCGUAAAGCGCGCGUAGGCGGCCAGAUAAGUCCGGUGUGAAAGUCAAAGGCUCAACCUUUGAAUGCCGCUGGAAACUGUCUGGCUUGAGUCCGGAAGGGGCGAGUGGAACUGCGAGUGUAGAGGUGAAAUUCGUAGAUAUUCGCAAGAACACCAGUGGCGAAGGCGGCUCACUGGACCGGCAUUGACGCUGAGGUGCGAAAGCGUGGGGAGCAAACAGG